UACAGAGGGUGCAAGCGUUAAUCGGAAUUACUGGGCGUAAAGCGUGCGUAGGCGGACUCUUAAGUCAGAUGUGAGAGCCCUGGGCUCAACCUAGGAAUUGCAUAUGAUACUGGGAGACUAGAGUAUGGCAGAGGAUAGUGGAAUUUCUGGUGUAGCGGUGAAAUGCGUAGAUAUCAGAAGGAACACCAGUGGCGAAGGCGACUGUCUGGGCUAAUACUGACGCUGAGGUACGAAAGCGUGGGUAGCAAACAGG
rnacentral:rRNA from 1 species